rnacentral:sRNA from 1 species
UGUCAGAGAUGGCUUUGGAUUCCCUGUUCUGCGUGCUCCUGCCUGGCUCCUGAACCCAGCUGGAGAGGUGUGUCAAUCCCAACUGGUGAAGUACUGAGAGGAAGCUGCACAAAAGGCAGCAAGGUAUUAAUAAGUCUGAGUGGUGUCAUUGAGCAAACACAGAGUGGGGCUCAUCGAGGGAUGAGAUUUUGCCAGAGAAAGGACGAGCAGCAAGUCAGGGAGCUUAAGCGUCAGCCUCGAGUUUGACCAGCAACAGGGGUCGGUGUGUCCCUCUGAAUCUGAGAUCUAUGAGGCAGGAGCUGGGGACAGGAUGGCAGGCAAGCCCAUGGCUGCUGCUAUACAGCCUGCUGAGGUGACUGUUGAAGUUGGUGAGGACCUUCACAUGCACCACAUCCGUGACUGGGAGACGCCUGAAGCUUUGGAGCUUAACCUUUCUGCCAAUCCAGAGGCAAGCACAAUAUUCCAGAGGAACUCUCAAACAGAUG